rnacentral:rRNA from 1 species
AGAGUUUGAUCCUGGCUCAGAAUGAACGCUGGCGGCGUGGAUAAGACAUGCAAGUCGAGCGAGAUUUUUUUCUGUAGCAAUGCAGGGAAAAGUCUAGCGGCGAACGGGUGCGUAACACGUGGGCAACCUGCCAAGAAGUGGGGGAUAGCUCGCCGAAAGGCGAAUUAAUACCGCAUGUGAUGAGAGUGGACAACCAUUCAAAAUCAAAGUCGGGGCAACCUGACGCUUCUUGAGGGGCCCGCGGCCUAUCAGCUAGUUGGUGAGGUAACGGCCCACCAAGGCUUAGACGGGUAGCUGGUCUGAGAGGACGACCAGCCACACUGGGACUGAGACACGGCCCAGACACCUACGGGUGGCAGCAGUCGAGAAUUUUUCUCAAUGGGGGAAACCCUGAAGGAGCGACGCCGCGUGGAGGAUGAAGGUCUUCGGGUUGUAAACUCCUGUCAUUUGGGAACAAUGCGCAAAUAUUAACUGUAUUUG